rnacentral:rRNA from 1 species
UCAGAGUGAACGCUGGCGGCGUGCUUAACACAUGCAAGUCGAACGAGAACGGAUUAUAGCUUGCUAUAAUUGUCAGCUAAGUGGCGCACGGGUGAGUAAUGUAUAGGUAAUAUGCCUCUUACUAAGGGAUAACAAUUGGAAACGAUUGCUAAUACCUUAUAUUCCUUUUUAUCAAAAGAUAAAAAGGGAAAGAUUUAUUGGUAAGAGAUUAGCCUGUAUUGUAUCAGUUAGUUGGUGGGGUAAUGGCCUACCAAGACUAUGACGCAUAACUGGUUUGAGAGGAUGAUCAGUCACACUGGAACUGAGACACGGUCCAGACUCCUACGGGAGGCAGCAGUGGGGAAUAUUGCACAAUGGACGAAAGUCUGAUGCAGCAACGCCGCGUGGAGGAUGACACAUUUCGGUGCGUAAACUCCUUUUAUAUAAGAAGAUAAUGACGGUAUUAUAUGAAUAAGCACCGGCUAACUCCGUGCCAGCAGCCGCGGUAAUACGGAGGGUGCAAGCGUUACUCGGAAUCACUGGGCGUAAAG